AUACACAGCAAAUUUCUGGAGUUCGAAAAUCUGGAGUCAAACAAAAAAGUAUUAAAGUGUUAGAUUUUGGGAGUUUAUUCUCUACAUUUAACUACAGCUUGUAUUCAGGGUAACUCUUUGGUGGUGUAAUAUUUCGGUGUUCAUUUAUUGGGUGUCGAGGAGCCUGAUUGAACACUACACCUGAGUUAACAGCUUUGUCACCGCGCUCCUCUCAGCAGUUUUCACUUGGACUUCUCCCUCGAGCCAGACAGUGAUGGCCAAACUUGCUAGCAGCUAGCUGCUGAAGUUUGCCCCGAACCAGUUGGGACUCGUGAGGCAGUUUACCCGGCACGGCUAGGACCGUAACGGACGCGAGAAGGGGACCUGUGAGGGAAUUACGACACGUGGUCAAGAUGUUGUUGAAGGUACAACAUGAAAGGACAAAGAAAUAUGUGAAACUGGAAGAGGUCAGCUUCUCAGACUUUAUCAAUGCAGUGAAGCAGAAGUUUCUCAUACCAGAAGAUAAAGUGCUGAAAGUCGCAGAUGAGCAGGGCAUAGAGGUGGAUGAGGAUGUCUUUCCAGAACUUGCAACAGAAGCAAUGUGUUUCGUCAUCUCUACUGAUGAUGGUAAGGGUAUUGAACAUUUCCUAUGCAGAAUCAUCCAAGAACAUAGCUGACUGCUCACUCUCAACAGAGUUUGCAGACUACUCCAACCUGACGGAAUUUGUGACACUCACACCUUGUGGUAGGCAGGCUUAUAGUAAAAGUUUAUUAUGAAAUACAAAAUGGCUCUCUCAUCUAAUGGGGCAAGUUGUGAUUUAAGUAAACUAAGCCUUAGUGUUCUUUGGUGUCAAGAGAUCCUUUGGAAUGAAAACAUGCUUGAUCUUCCUUUGCACCCUACUGUAUAUGGCAGUUUUGUGUUUGUUAAUUUAUGAUUGUAUGUGCCCUGUAACCUAAUGUUGUUAUUUGUGGUCCUCAGAUUUUACACUACUGCAGCAAGAUGGUGAAGGGUCUUCCUGCCCAAGUCUUACAGAUACGUUGUCCCUCUCAAGCAGUCUAAGCAGUCCACAAAGUGAUGCUGGAUCUCAAAUGAUUCAGCCUGUCAUGGACAGCAUGGACAGCACCCGCGCAAAAAAUGUAAUCUUAUAACCUCUAUUCUUUGUUCUUGUUGGCCUGUCUUCAAAGCCCAGUUUAAUUAAUGUCUUAAUUUUGUUGUUAAUUGUUGUUUUGUAUUUUAUAUCAUUUGUAUCUAGGCUGUGGAGCAAAUUCUCACUUCUAAGCCUGCAGGGAUGACGGUGAUCAAACAGUAUGAAGAGACCGGGAGUUUGAAAGAUUCCACUCGCCGUUUUAAUGGUGAACAUCAUUGUGGCUCACAUGCGUGAAAAGGAAGGGAGAUUUGUAAGUAAGACGACAAAGGAGUUUCAUGCCCUUGGGAUUGUGUCGCUCUUCCCAUCUUUGAAGGACCCAUACUCAAAAAAGGGAUAUGAACAUUUCUAUGACAUUCAGAGCAACAAAGGCUUUCUUGAGUGGCGUGUCAAAACUGUGCAACGUCAGUCCAGAACCACAUCUACAUCCCAUAACAGAGUGGAGCUAAAAGGAGGUCCCACAUCAUCAAGAACUCUCUGCUCCAUAGAUCAGUGUUUCUCAAACUUUUUCAGACGAAGGACCACUUAACCAAUAAAAAAAACACACGGACCA